GACUGUCUCAGAGGAGAAGAAGAAACAUUAUGCUCUCUAUACUCAUAAGCGGAAUGACGUGAUGGAGAAGGAGUUCUGUAGCGUGCGGGGACAUCACUCGUUGACAAACGACGCUGCACUGGUCUAGCAUCCUGCGGAGUAGUGUCUGCAAAAGCUGUGGUGGUGGAGGCGCAGCUAAACUUACUCAUGAAGCUCUUCAUCUUCGACUUCAUAGAUUUUA
rnacentral:lncRNA from 1 species